UUACGGCCAUAUCACUUUUGAAACAUCGGUUCUCGUUCGUAAACCGAAGUUAAGAAAGGUCGAGCCUGGUCAGUACCUAGGUGGGUGACUACUUGGGAUUAUCAGGUACUGUAAG